GCAGAGGAGGUGCGCCGGUUCAUGGGUCCCGGAGGGCCCAAGUGAGCCGCUCCCAGGUGAGUCUUCCCCAGGUGUGCCUCCCGCCGCCCCCGGUUUGGCCCCCCAAUCCGGGCGGGCCGACUCGGGCCAGGUCACAGCUCACAACCCGCCCACCAGCUCGGGUUACAGCCCCACCCAGCCAACGCUCCCCAGGACCCCCGUUUCCCCCAAAAUUGUACCCCAGUAACCCCAAGUGACCUGGGUGGACACUGCUCUCCUGUUGGUCACGGUUCUCUUUCGCUACAACCGACGAGGACGCUCGAUUGCUUGAUUCUUGGUCUUCAAUGACCUUAUACCUGUUGAACACUGCUGAAGUCACAGUCUAACUCAGCCACUGCCCUGCUGGACAACUCCUGCUUCCCGAAAUCUGGGGUCCAGUCUGCCCUCAACAGUCUGAUGUUACCUGUUGUGAGGCAGAAAAAUAGGGCCUGGAGGCAGGGAACAUAAGGCUGACUUCCUAGACCUAAAUCAAAAAGCACCUUAGCAAUGACAGGAAUGUAAACGGCUUUGCAACUUCACUUCAUCCUCUCCAUUCACGCCCUUUACACUUUGUAACUUCACAUUCAUCCUCUCCAUUUACACAGACCACACACUCCAAGAAACAUCCUCUCCAUUUAUACUUUGUAACUUCACAUUCAUCCUCUCCCACCAAGUAACAUCCUCUCCAUUUGCACAUCCU
rnacentral:lncRNA from 1 species